AGUAUACUACCCUUACUAUGUUAUAGAAAUAUAUGGUAGAAAUAGUAGCAGUAGUAUGCGGUCCAAAUUCUGCCAAUCAUUAUGGAGUCGCACGAAAAUUAUGUCUAGACAGCUCUGAUUGGCUGAAGGAACCAUAAACAACUAUAACUACUGUCCACUUACCAUUUUUUUCAGCCUUACUAGGCGAAUGAUGCGUCACCUAAUUAAUAUUCAUGAGCCAUGCUGAUAAGGUAUAUAAAUAUGACCCCCCACCACUUUUCAGAUCACUCCUGCACCCCUGUGUAUUACAGAGAUGUUAUAUGAUUUGGACCCUUUCAUCUUAUUAUUGGUUUCUCUUCCCAGGGACAAAUUGUUCAGACUCAUCCAGAGGAACGUCAACAUUAUAAGAGGAAUAGCUGCUGGAGUCACUGCCAUUGAGGUGGCAGCGAUGGGAGUGUCUAUGUACCUUUAUUGCUACCUGGACAAAAAGCCACCUAAGAGUCUCAUCUUACUAGAUUUAUGUAAAUGCAUCUUUUCUUUACACUACAAGCUAGCAAAGAUUAAUCAAUACUUUAACUGUAGAUAACAUUGUAGAUAUUAUGCAAUUGUUGUAGCAUUUCAGUUGCAUCAUGUUAACGAGGUGAAGUGGAUGACAAAAUUGUUGGUUAUUUGAUUUUGAAAUCAGAAGUUACAUAAACAAUUUUCUUCUGAGUAUGUAAUGUAAUGCAGUUCAUGAAAUAUAAAUGUUGCUGUAUCCCCUUCUACAUGAGAAAGUAAUUUUAUAACCAGAGUUCAUUUGCAUAGAGAAGCCAUAAUUGUUUUGCACUGAAACGCUUCACGUCACACAAGCUGUUCUUAUACAUGAAAAAUUGGUUAAGGGAGAGCUAGGAAAGUGUUUGUGGAGAAUGUCUUAUAAAUAAUGCAUUUUUGCACCAAACAAAACUAUCCCUAACCCACUGAAGAUAUAUCUAUGUAUGAUACUGACUGCUCACUUAUCCUGAGGAGGAUAACUUGUUCUUUUAACUUGGUACAGUUGAUACUAAAUAAAAUGCACAAGAAAGCAUGAGUCAGUCCAGUUCCUCUAAGAAUCCCUUAUAAUGAAAGUCAAACAAGCAAAGUGUGACAACCUACCCCACUGAUUUGAAUGGUAUAUAUCAUAAUGAAUGAAUAGAGUUUUAAAUAAUAUUUAUACACAAUAUUGCAUAGAGAUUGUGACUUUAAAGAUUCACACACUACAUUUCAGUCUAUAGAAACCAACUACUUUAGCUGACGGAAUGACAAAAUAACUAGACAACAUUGGCACACACAGUCGAAUCAUUUAAGCAAGGGAUCAGCCUAAUUAAAUUUGCCUUGAUUUCAAUAGUCACCAUUUCUUUUGUGGCUGCUUCAAUUUUCUACAUAAUCUGCCUGCUGUGCUGUCUACUUACCG
rnacentral:lncRNA from 1 species